rnacentral:rRNA from 1 species
AGAGUUUGAUUCUGGCUCAGAACGAACGCUGGCGGCGUGGAUAAGACAUGCAAGUCGAACGAGAGAAUUGCUAGCUUGCUAAUAAUUCUCUAGUGGCGCACGGGUGAGUAACACGUGAGUAACCUGCCCCCGAGAGCGGGAUAGCCCUGGGAAACUGGGAUUAAUACCGCAUAGUAUCGAAAGAUUAAAGCAGCAAUGCGCUUGGGGAUGGGCUCGCGGCCUAUUAGUUAGUUGGUGAGGUAACGGCUCACCAAGGCGAUGACGGGUAGCCGGUCUGAGAGGAUGUCCGGCCACACUGGAACUGAGACACGGUCCAGACACCUACGGGUGGCAGCAGUCGAGAAUCAUUCACAAUGGGGGAAACCCUGAUGGUGCGACGCCGCGUGGGGGAAUGAAGGUCUUCGGAUUGUAAACCCCUGUCAUGUGGGAGCAAAUUAAAAAGAUAGUACCACAAGAGGAAGAGACGGCUAACUCUGUGCCAGCAGCCGCGGUAAUACAGAGGUCUCAAGCGUUGUUCGGAAUCACUGGGCGUAAAGCGUGCGUAGGCUGUUUCGUAAGUCGUGUGUGAAAGGCGCGGGCUCAACCCGCGGACGGCACAUGAUACUGCGAGACUAGAGUAAUGGAGGGGGAACCGGAAUUCUCGGUGUAGCAGUGAAAUGCGUAGAUAUCGAGAGGAACACUCGUGGCGAAGGCGGGUUCCUGGACAUUAACUGACGCUGAGGCACGAAGGCCAGGGGAGCGAAAGGGAUUAGAUACCCCUGUAGUCCUGGCAGUAAACGGUGCACGCUUGGUGUGCGGGGAAUCGACCCCCUGCGUGCCGGAGCUAACGCGUUAAGCGUGCCGCCUGGGGAGUACGGUCGCAAGAUUAAAACUCAAAGAAAUUGACGGGGACCCGCACAAGCGGUGGAGUAUGUGGCUUAAUUCGAUGCAACGCGAAGAACCUUACCUGGGCU